GGCCGCAGGGCUGGGGCUCCCCAAGGGCAGCCCUGGGGAUCACACAUCCUCCUCCUGCCAGGGCUGAGCAGGUCUCCAAGGGCAGCAUUUGGAGCUCACCCCGCAGAGCAAGGCUGGGAGGAGCACUGGAGAGCUCCCAGCUGGGGUCCCCAGGGGAAGGGGCUGUACCCAGGGGGAGGCAGUGGCAGGGAGCAAAGGGACCCAGGCUGAGCCAUGGGGAGGUGCAUUGCCCUUGGGAGGGCCACACAACCCCACAAAGCCCUUCCCAACCAAAGAUUCCCAUAAUUCCUCCUUUAGUUUUCUCUUUUAUCUGUUAUAAUAGUGUGGGUUUAUGACCCAUUUUUUUGUAUUCACUCAGUUCCUUGGGAAGUGAAAUGAAUAAUAGAUACAUUAUUUUUAAAACUGCAAAAGUAGUUAAAUGUUGAAAAGUCCUAAACCAGCCAGGGAUCUGGCACUUCAGGAAAGUCCAGGUUUAAGUCUGAAGCUAAAUUAUCUGCUGGGGUGAAAUCAGUCUCAGCUGGAAAUAGUUUUCCACACCUUUUGGCUUUGAGAAAAAAGUGAAGUCAGCUGUGAAUCAAACUUAUAGCCUUUGGUCCUCUGGAAUAAAUGCAGCUUUGAGUCACUCAUGAUGUGCUGCAAAUCCCACUUUAGUGUCUGCAUCCAGGACUGCUGUUAAAAAAGCAUCAGAGAUAAAUCCAGCUCUGCCUGCAGCUGCUGUGGCCAGUGCUCCAGAUAAUGAGACAAGAACUUUUCCUGAGCUCAGGUCAGUGUUUGGGAGUUUUCACCUGCUUGGGAUGGGAGCUGGAAGCUGGGCUCUGCCCCUGCCCAGUGCAGACUGGACUGGAGCAAGAGGGAUUACUCACAGGGCAAACAAUUCCAGUUCUGCAGCACAAGAGAGAGAAAAUGCAAGGACAAGCCACUCCCUGAACAAGGACCAGGCUGCCCUGGGGAGGCAGUGACACACAGGAAGGUGACAAAGCUCUUCUUGGCACCACAGUUCCCAAACUCGGAUGUCUCAAGCCCACAUCCAUGGGAAUUACUUGUGCUCCUCCCCAGACUCCACUGAACACAAUCAGCUCUCUGAAAACCUGGAAUUUGAAGCUCACAAACAAAUGUGCAGCAGUAAAAGUACAGGCUUUGUCCUUGCAUUUCCCACUUGGGAAGAACAUGAACUUGGCAAACAAAGUCCUGCUAAACAGAUAAGCACAACAGUGGUUCUGCAGCUUAUGACACAGAAAGCAUUGAUGGUGUUGAGGAUGAAAAGAUUUUGCACUGAAGUUUGACAGGUUUGUGAUUUUCCUGAUGCAGGGAAGAGUUAUCUGUGGAGUGGGGCACGGCGUGGGCCUGGGGCAGGUUGUGACGCCUGGUGCUGCCCUAUGUUCAUUCCUCUGCCAUGUGAGCUGUCAGAUAGUUGACCUUAAAAAUCCCAUAAUACUCCCUAAUGCUGCACUUUCCCUCCUCCUGCAUAUUUUCAGUGAGAUGUUACUAAUCCCAGGAAAGGAAAGGGCAAAAGCUUUGGGCCACUGACGAGCCAAACUCAGAGUGCUCAGAUAGGAAAACAAAUAGCAUCCAAAGCACUAAAUCUGGGCAGGAUUUGAGCUAAGAGCUGCUAAAAACCCUGUUAAAACUCAAGCCAGGAAGAAUAAACUCAGAACAGGCAAUUACACUUCACUCUUGGCUUGGUUGCACUGGCUGGUGGUUCAGAAUUGCCACAGAAUGAUUUACUGGGAGAUAAUGGAGCAUUGCACACCCCAGCUCCCACAGAGGCUCCACACCUUCAUCAAGAUGCCAGUAUUUAGUGCUAAGCUUUAUUAAGCAUGAAAGGAAAGGAAAAAAAAAAAGCCAAAUUUGAAUUUUUAAUGUCCUGAGUUAGUCCUUAAAAAAACAUUUAUAGACUAGAUGAUAGUGAUUCAACAGAGCAACCUUGGAAGGGAGACUAAAAUGAAUAUUGACUUUGCUUUCCCAGUCUGUGGUUUGUGGUAAAGGAAACAAUUUUUAAUUCUCCAUCUUUCACUACUGGCAAUUCUGAUUGUGAACUAAAGACAACAGCAAUAUUCCUCAUUAUUGUUAAUGCCUUUAUGAAAGGCUGAUUUGGAUUUGGAAUUGCUCUAAAGUCUACUAAAGUGAUUAAAGUGUUUAAAAAUUACUGACCUAGUUCAUUCAGAUAGCUGUAGGGUCUCCAGUCUGCAGUUUCUCUGUCAAGGAUUUUGUUACUGAGCUGUUCAAAAAGUAUGAUAAUGGGUUAAUGCUGGAAGAGACAGACAGUUCCCACCCCAGACUACAGCCCAAGGAUGUCAGGAAUAAAAAUGGGAGGUGACUCCUGCCUUGGCCUCACCAUCUCAGCCUUUAUCUGUGUGAGUUGGACAGCUGCUCACUGGCAUUAGGGAAAAUCACAAAGGAAAGUCACUUCACCAAGCCAUGAACACAAGCAUGCUGGAGAACACAGGAUUUCCUUUGGAACCACGAUGGGAUGCCUGUGGACGUGGGGUGACACGCUCCAAACUAACCAUGGAGAUGGAUGGAUCAAAGCCCUACACAGCAUGCACAGGGGGCUGCCUGGAGCCUGGGGGCUGCUGGCACUGACAGGAGAUGCAGGGGACACGAGUUCUCUCAGUUCAAGGAAAAUCACUUUGGCAAUGAUGGAGCACAAGGGCCCCUGUGGAUCUGCCAGCAGAGAGGAGAGUCCAGGGCUGCCCUGGAGGUGGGACAGCCCCUCCAGAGGGUGCAGUGAGAGGAGAGGGGUCUCUGCUUUGGGGUGCACGGCCCCACUGGGCUGGGACAGAGCAGAAGGGGCUCCACAGAUGAGUGGUCACCAGCUGAGCCCUGCAGGGGGGUCUGGGAAUAGCUGUAGGUGCUAAGACUGCUGAGCUUUCCUCCUCACAUUAUUCCCUUGAAAGCCACACCUGCAGGAAUACAGCUGGUCCAGAGGAAGGGUCAAUUCAAGAGCAAAUCCCAGCCUUGUUUCUGAAAAGAAACCAACACCUGGACUUUUGCUGCAAUGCUGGAAGGGAAUGAGGGUGGAAUUAUGAGCUUUGCAAAAGCUCAAGGUGAGAAUCCUCCAUUUGCUUGUGACCAGUGCAGCAGCCUCAUCCUUUACACAGAGCAUUCUACACAAACUUUGCAGUGCUUGGUAAAAGUGAGGUUUGUUUUUACUUCAUGCACAAUGCAAUAACUCAGUCACAAAGCUGGCAUUGAAGCCCUGGGAGGGGUUCUGUGAGUGGUGCUGCCAAACACCCUCUGAACAAAACAGGUCCUCAGCAGCUGAAAUCUGGUCUGUGGCUCAGCAAUGAGAGCUUUGAUGUGAAGACACAGGUAUGGAGGUAUGUAAUCGCCAUUUACCUGCUUUGAAAAUCUUUGGUAAUUCUGUGGCAAAAGGUGACCUGAGUUCAUGUCUGAUAGUCCUUGAUAACUUGCAGCAUCAUUACUAGCUGGUGCUGCACAUGUCAUGAGAAAAAAGGCCAGACCUACUUGCAGGAGCUCCUAAGCAAAGGUCAAGGUUUGGCUUCAGUUAAACUCACAGUAAAACAUCUCCUGGCUCCAGUGGUUCCAGCCUUCUCCCCAGCUGACUUGCCAAGCUCUCUCCUGUGGGAAGAGCAAUUACUUGUGGCAAAGUGCUGGGAGUUGAAAGCCUGCACUGAGAUGCUGGAGCCUCCUCCUGAGCCUCAGAGCUGCAGAUCCAUUCUCAGGGUCCUUGCACAGAGAUGAAGCUCAGCCCUACAAGCUCCUGCUGGCACCUGGCACAGGCUUGGGGACAGGACUGCAAGGGCUUGGAUGCCCCAGUCCUUGUGUCCAGCUGCCUUUUACUGCAAACACCCAGGCACACAAUCCCCCAGAGAGCUGAUCAAGCUCCAUUUCAGCAAUAAUCAGAUUUCUUUGUCCCAUUAGUCUUCCUGGGAAGCUAUUCCAAAAUCUCACUGAUCUGAUGGUAGAAAUCUAAUUUCCAGCUUCAAUGCAUUCAUGGCCAGUUCAUCCUCAUUUGUUCUCGAGCCAGCUCUGUCAUCUCACUUAAAUAGCUCUCCUCCCUCCUUGUGUUUACCUUGCUGUAUUUAUACAUGGCAAUCAUGCUCCCCCUCAGCAUUCAUUUUGCCAGACAAAAGCAGCCAAGCCUUUUCCAGUCUCUUCUGAUAGGCUCCCCUUAUCCUCCCACUUGUUUUCCUCCUGCCUGUGUUCAGUCUGUGCUCCACUGGCACAACCCCAGCCCCAAACACACUGGGGAGGGUUUGAUGCCUCCAGUGGUGCUUGUCUCUCAGCAGCUCCCAUGGCUCACCUUCAGGACCUGAGCAGUGGC